GAUGAAGAACGUAGCGAAAUGCGAUACUUGGUGUGAAUUGCAGAAUCUCGUGAACCAUCGAGUCUUUGAACGCAAGUUGCGCCCGAAGCCAUCAGGUUGAGGGCACGUCUGCCUGGGCGUCACAUAUCGUUGCCCAAUGCCUAUUGCAGUGCAAUAGGAAUUUCUAGGGCGAAUGAUGGCUUCCCGUGAGCGUUGUUGCCUCGCGGUUGGUUGAAAAUCGAGUCCUUGGUAGGGUGUGCCAUGGUAGAUGGUGGUCGAGUUGGAACGAUACCGAUCAUGUGCAUGCUCCCCAAAAUAUGGCCUCUAUGACCCACACGCGUCUUUUGACGCUCAUGACGAGACCUCAGGUCAGGCGGGGCUACCCGCUGAAUUUAAGCAUAUCAAUAAGCGGAGGA
rnacentral:misc_RNA from 1 species